rnacentral:rRNA from 1 species
GACGAACGCUGGCGGCGUGCCUAAUACAUGCAAGUAGAACGCUGAAGGAGGAGCUUGCUUCUCUGGAUGAGUUGCGAACGGGUGAGUAACGCGUAGGUAACCUGCCUGGUAGCGGGGGAUAACUAUUGGAAACGAUAGCUAAUACCGCAUAAUAGUAGAUGUUGCAUGACAUUUGCUUAAAAGGUGCAAUUGCAUCACUACCAGAUGGACCUGCGUUGUAUUAGCUAGUUGGUGGGGUAACGGCUCACCAAGGCGACGAUACAUAGCCGACCUGAGAGGGUGAUCGGCCACACUGGGACUGGGACACGGCCCAGACUCCUACGGGAGGCAGCAGUAGGGAAUCUUCGGCAAUGGACGGAAGUCUGACCGAGCAACGCCGCGUGAGUGAAGAAGGUUUUCGGAUCGUAAAGCUCUGUUGUAAGAGAAGAACGAGUGUGAGAGUGGAAAGUUCACACUGUGACGGUAUCUUAACAGAAAGAGACGGCUAACUACGUG